rnacentral:rRNA from 1 species
UACAGAGGUCUCAAGCGUUGUUCGGAAUUACUGGGCGUAAAGGGCGCGUAGGCGGCCUUCUAAGUCGGACGUGAAAUCCCUCGGCUUAACCGAGGAACUGCGUCCGAUACUGAAAGGCUUGAAUCCGGGAGAGGGAUGUGGAAUUCCAGGUGUAGCGGUGAAAUGCGUAGAUAUCUGGAGGAACACCGGUGGCGAAGGCGGCAUCCUGGACCGGUAUUGACGCUGAGGCGCGAAAGCUAGGGGAGCAAACGGG